UUGUCACAAUCUUAUUGUUUCCACCAAAGCAGCAAAAGCUACAUGCACACACACUUCCAUCCACACGUACAGGAGAGGCUAUGGCGUUGUACGUGUGUCGUGUGCGUGCUUUUUUGAGUUGUAUCCGUUGUUAUAAAUCAACGUACGAACUUUUUUGAAGACAUAACUUUUAAUCUCCCCUAAUAAUAAAGCGCGCAGCGCUUGUCGUCCGUCGUCGGUCAUUUUGUAGAAAAGUCCUUGCAGUUUCAGUUAAUUAACCUGCAGUCCAACUUUUAGUCAGAACGAACCGUUUUCUAUCGUUUUGCAGAAAAGUCCUCAUAAUUUUAGAUAAUCAACCCG
rnacentral:lncRNA from 1 species